UCUUCUGAUGAAAUUUGGGAGAUUGAUUACCUGGGGUUUAACUUCAACAAUGUAUUUACCCAUUUUAAUUCUAAUUCUACGAUAACCUUGCUCUGAGGCAAUACCCAAAUUCUCACACAAAGUGAACCAUUUGCUAAGAGAAUUUUUUCCUCUGCCACUCACAAUGAAAACUGUGUUCUUCGGGUCACCGCGCAAGCAAUUCAACAAGGAAAUAAUCUUUUGCUCCAGAGGCAGUGUAAUCAAAGGAAAGCAUAAAACAAAUUUUAGAUAAGUUCUGCAUAAUUUUGAGAAAAGGGAUAGAAAGCCAUGGUAUAGAAUUGUUCCAGAAGGGAAAAAAGAAAAAGAAAAAGGAAAGCUUCCUUAAAUUCAAUCCCAAAGCCAUGACUCUGAAUCCCAAACCGAAAUUCAUGUCCCAGAACCUCUUGCUGUAAUGUUCAUCACAAGUCCCCUGGAGGUCUAGAUCGAUCGAAACUCAAACCGAGAAGGGAACAGAGAGGUGGGAGAGUUGGAGAGAUUGAGGGAUGAGUGUGAAAAGACUUCAAUUGCCCUUUGUGUUAAAAUUAUGUGAUAAUUUUAUUUUUUUUUUGGUAGAAAAAAUUAUUUAAAAUACACAGUGCAAAAAAUAAAUUAUAAGGUUCUGGUGACAAAAUUAGGAUUAUACCGACUGUUUAAGUACUACGGUUCAAAGUUCAAACGCACCAAGAUCUUCAUCAACUAUGGUGAGAAAGAAGACCAAAAACAAGAAAGAUUCUGACAACAAUUCCGACUCCGACGACGAUACCUUCUACUACCGCUAUUCCUCUGCCCCUGCUCCUCCUUCUUUUUCCGCUGCUCAAUCCCCUCGUCAGAAGAACCCGACCACCACCACUACCUCCAUCAUCAAUGGCGGCUCAAGCUCUUCUUCUUCCUUAGCCCCAUCCAAAUCAACCAUCUACGUCUCCAACCUCGAUUACUCCCUCACCAACUCCGACCUCCACACCCUCUUCUCCACCUUCGGCAAGAUCGCACGCGUCACCAUCCUCAAGCACCGCGACACGCGCCUCAGCCGCGGAGUCGCCUUCAUCCAGUUCGUCUCCCGAAACGAUGCCGCUUCCGCGGCACGCCAGAUGCACGGGAAGAUCCUUAACGGCCGUAAGCUCGCCGCCUCCAUCGCCGCCGAUAACGGCAGAGCGCCGGAGUUCAUACGGAAGAGGGUUUACAGGGACAAGAGCCGGUGCUACGAGUGCGGAGUGGAAGGGCACUUGUCGUACGAGUGUCCUAAGAACCAGCUUGGCCCCAGGGAGCGUCCGGUUCCCAAGAGAGGGAGGAAGGGUGGUUGGAGUGGUGGUGGCAAGAAGGAGGAUGAGGGUGAGGAUUUGGUGGAUGAUGGCGGGGAAGGUUUUGAGGAUGAUAAUUGGGCUUCGGUGGUGGAUGGCGGUGCCAAUGAGAGGUUGUUGAAGGGGAGUGAUAAUGGUGUUAUGGAGGAGAGGAAGAAGAUGAAGAAAGCUAGCUAUUUCAGUGAUGAGAGUGAUGGUGACGAGGAAUAAAUUGCUCUCAAAUUGGGGAUAAUUUGAAGUGGGCUUUUGAAGGGUGUUCUAUAUGUAAGUGGUCGUUACCGCUUCUCAAAAGUUGUAUUGGUUUCGAACUAGUCACCAGGGAAAGGUGCCAGCAUGUUCUCCAAGACACAAGAAAUGUGCAACUCGUGCUUCCAUGGGUGGAAUUAGGAACUGAAGUCAGUCGUCCAAUGUGCCAUAGAUGUGAAAUUAGGAAAAUGAUCUGUUAAUUCUAAGUUUAAUUGGUGAUCUUAUGGGCCAAUAUGAAAGUUAUUUUUUGGCCUGUUGAAGGAUAAAGAAGGUUGAUUUUUGAAAGUCUAGGCUUUGGUUUUGCAGUAAGAGUAAAAUAUUUGUUCAAAUCUGGAUAAUAGAAGCCAACCAUUUCAUAGUAACGUCUAAUGAUGUUAAGCUUAAUGGUAAAAUUAUGAAAUAGACGUCUAAUGAUGCUUGGAGAUCUAGGUGCCGAUUCUUAGAUUUUAGGAAAUCUAGUUUUGUUUGGAGACUUAAAACUCAUCUAGUCCUUGUCGGUAGGAGGAAAUCAGAAGCCAUGCGAUGCCAAGGCUUAUAUUAGUGUUGGCAUGGAGUUAAGCUUUAAUGCAGUCAUUUGGAUGCUGAACUUGGCUGGUCUAUUUACUUUUUUGAGUCAUGAUAAUUUUUCUUACUUCUGAUUCAGGCCAGAAAAAUUCUAAUGGAAAAGAAAAUGAAUAACAAAUGAAAAGGGAACUAAAUUGAACUCAAUGCAAAACUAAUAUUCAUAUUUCAAUCACCUCCUAAAACAAUGAUGCACCCAAGAUGGAGGUUGAUGGACCAGGCUGAAAAGCCAAAUAGAGAAAAGGUAAAAGGGACAGACAUUUAUUUUCCAAGAAAGCUAAAAAUUUUAAAACUCUGUAGUUUUAUUAUCAUUGUUAAAACAACGUGAACUAAAAUACCGUCCACACGAAAAAAAAAAAAAAACCUACUAAAAUGCAUUUGUUCUUUUUCUUUACAAACUUUACCCUAGUGUCAAUUUAAUCCCUUUUCCUUUUUCUUGCAAGUUACUAAAACAAC